GCCGGGUGUGGUGGCACGUGCCUGUAGUCCCAGCUACUCGGGAGGCUGAGGUGGGAGGAUUGCUUGAGCCCAGGAGUUCUGGGCUAUAGUUUGCUAUGCUGAUCGGGUGUCUGCACUAAGUUCAGCAUCAAUAUGGUGACCUCCUGGGAGUGGGGGACCACCAGGUUGCCUAAGGAGGGGUGAACCAGCCCAGGUCGGAAAUGGAGCAGGUCAAAACUUCCCUGCUGAUCAGUAGUGGGAUCGCACCUGUGAAUAGCCACUGCACUCCAGCCUGGGUAACAUAGCGAGACCCUGUCUCAA
ensembl:misc_RNA Metazoa_SRP Metazoan signal recognition particle RNA